rnacentral:rRNA from 1 species
AGAACCAGCAUCAGCCACAGCAUCAGAGGAACGGUCUGGAAAGGCCGGCGAGAGAGGGUGACAGCCCCGUACUCGAAGAUGGCGUGGUUGUGAGUUCGAUGAGUAAGGCGGGACACGAGAAAUCCUGUCUGAAGAGGGGGGGACCAUCCUCCAAGGCUAAAUACUCCUGACUGACCGAUAGUGAACCAGUACCGUGAGGGAAAGGCGAAAAGAACCCCGGCGAGGGGAGUGAAAGAGAACCUGAAACCGUGUACGUACAAGCAGUGGGAGCCUUGAAGUAUCAGGGUGACUGCGUACCUUUUGUAUAAUGGGUCAGCGACUUAUAUUCUGUAGCAAGGUUAACCGAAUAGGGGAGCCGCAGGGAAACCGAGUCUUAACUGGG